AACGCACAUUGCGCCCAUUAGUAUUCUAGUGGGCAUGCCUGUUCGAGCGUCAUUUCAACCCUUAAGCCUAGCUUAGUGUUGGGAAUCUAUAUGUGGCCCAAGCUACCCUGUAGCGUGGUUACCCUGUAGUUCCUGAAAAUCAACGGCGGAUUUAUAGUAUCCUCUGAGCGUAGUAAUUUUUUUAUCUCGCUUCUGUUUAGGUGCUGUAGAUUUUGCCGCUAAACCCCCAAUUUUUGUGGUUGACCUCGGAUCAGGUAGGAAUACCCGCUGAACUUAA
rnacentral:misc_RNA from 1 species